CUCGACGAGAGCUUCACGCUAUAGCCCAGACCCCAACGGAUUUCCAGACUGGAAGUGUCGUCAGCAGCGGCUGCGAUGGCAGCAGAGCAGAAGCCUGGCCUGCAUGCAUUAUGCAUUGGGCCAGUCUUCACUGUAUCUAACCAGAAACUAACCUUAUAAAAUGGAUAUUGAAUUGAUUGGCCAGAAUAUACUUUUGGUUUGUUUUCACAAUAGAAACAAUAAUUCUGUAGCUGGAAGUGUGUAACUGAAAGAGAUUGUUGUUACCAAACUUUUGUUACCUUUGGGAAAUCAACCCUAACAUGGUGCCAUUCCCACCAACAGUGAUUAACAUGAACAGGAUGUGGGAAGUACAUUUCCCGGAGCUUUAAUCACGAAACCGAAAUCCCUUGGCUGUCAAAUCCUUUCGGGCCUCCAAAAUCUGUGCUUGAAGUUCCUUGGCUGCUUCAGGACAGUCGUUAAAUGUAAA